GCCCGCCUAGCUCAAUCGGAUAGAGCGUCAGACUCUUAUGGGCAUAGAGGAGAAGCAUGUAAUCUGAAGGCUGCGAGUUCGACCCUCGCGGUGGGCU